GAUGAACGCCGGCGGCGUGCUUAACACAUGCAAGUCGAACGAAGCACCUUAGACAGAAGCCUUCGGGCGGAAGACUUUGGUGACUUAGUGGCGGACGGGUGAGUAACGCGUGGGUAACCUGCCCUCUACCGGGGGACAACAGUUGGAAACGACUGCUAAUACCGCAUAAGCGCACAGCAUCGCAUGAUGCAGUGUGAAAAACUCCGGUGGUACAGGAUGGACCCGCGUCUGAUUAGCUAGGUGGUGAGGUAACGGCUUACCAAGGCAACGAUCAGUAGCCGACUUGAGAGAGUGAUCGGCCACAUUGGGACUGAGACACGGCCCAAACUCCUACGGGAGGCAGCAGUGGGGAAUAUUGCACAAUGGGGGAAACCCUGAUGCAGCGACGCCGCGUGAAGGAAGAAGUAUUUCGGUAUGUAAACUUCUAUCAGCAAGGAAGAAAAUGACGGUACUUGACUAAGAAGCCCCGGCUAAAUACGUGCCAGCCGCCGCAGUAA
rnacentral:rRNA from 1 species